CAGCAAACAGUGUAGUUGCAUCUGAGUAUGCAAAGUAUACAAAGCAGGGAGGCAGCUUCAAGAUGAUCACCUGAUCAGUACAGUUUUUACACCAGAGAGGACAGGACUCGUGAGGAAAUACAAAUCCCAUAAUGCCUCUGGCGAUGUAAGCUUUGGGCUACACCUUGAGUCUCUUUCAAGUUUGGAGAGUCUGCAUCAUGAUCAUGGACAUUUAUCUGUGCCGGAAGCUGGAGAUACCAUGAUACCUGUCAACACUGAUUUUAGGAGUGUAUCAUGUCUGUGUGUUAAGUUUCAAAUAAGAUAUGAAUCUAAGAAGAAAGGUGUAAAGGGAGAGCCUUCACCCCCAUGCACUGGUGCCUUAGGCAAAUUGCCUAUGUUGCCUAUACCAUGACUUGCAACUGACUGUAAUGAAGUGGCCAUUAAGUAUAUAGUAUACAGUAUACUCACUUGUUAAUGUGGGGGUCUUGAAAAGAGUCCAAUGCAGUCUGCCAGCUGAGUUUGUACUUGU